ensembl:lncRNA
CAGGGUAGCAGGGUGAGUUGCAGAAAGGAGCAUGUUGAGCUGUCAGUCAGGUCUAGAAAUAGAAAAGCAUCUGCAAACUGCAUCUCAACACUCACAGCCAGCAAGCAGGAGUCAAGAAUCCCACUUCACUGUUAUUCAGAGGGUAUCCCUGCAACCAGGCACCAACACUUGCUACAGAGACUCGCUGAUACUCAGACGUUGGAAAAGCAAUGCCGGCAAGGCGCCUGGCAGUCCAGACCACUCUCCCUUAUAUUGUGUAGCAGCACUUGGCAACCCUGCCACACCACAGGCAAUAGCAGAGGAUCAACCAGCAUGGGAACAAAGCUUGCUGAGGCCAGCAGUAAGGCCCUCAAGUCAGCCCUCUGCUGAUGAAAACUACAACAAUUAGACAGAUGAAGCUCUCUCUUUUAAAAUUCAGAUGUAUUCAAACACUCAAAACACAUCUGCUUGCUCAGAAUCCAGUAGCUUUGAGUGUGUUGCUGUGGCAUUGGAAACUACAGAUGAAGUAAACCAAGGCUUAAAGACUGUGCCCAAAAGACAAAUCCAACUGAAGAGACGCGACUCAACAGAGGCACAUGCCAGAGAGAGCAGCAAUCAAAGCCUUCAGGUUGCAAACACACCUGUGUGUGCCCGGGACAUAUUUCAGCGUCAACAUAGCACCCCUGCAGCUUUUAACCAGGAGUCCCAUGUGGCUGAUCAAAGGUCAGUACAGGCUGACAGAAAGCAAAGGCUUCAGAAGUAAUUUUCCCUGGAUGAAACCUCCUGCAAAACCCAGAUGGCUUCCUGCAUCAUAACAAAUGUCUUAACAAAAAAAAUGCAACAUGAACAGAAUCUUCACACCUUGGAUGUUUCUGAUAAAGCCUUUACUUCUAUCAAAGUGAGCAACAGGACUACUACCACUGAUGAAUGCAUCUAUUUGUCUGACAAGGAUGUAUUUGCUGAAACUACCAAACUAAACCAAAAUGCUACUCUUAAGAGGGAGGCCCAGAGAGAGUGCAGCCCUGUUCAAAAGCAUUGCAGGGUUAACUUUAAAACGCAGCCCAAGCUGCUGAGCAAACAUGACUUCAAUCCUCUUUUAAGUGCAAUUGUCAGGUCUGAAGUUCAAGGCAGUUGCACUGAAAUAAUGGACCCUUCAGAGAAUGAGAAAGCAGAGAAGUUGAGUCCAAGAGAGAACAUGUUCCGGCUGCCUAACCUGUGCCCUGGUGUGAAGCUAUUCUGUGACUCAGCAAAAAGCAGAGCAUGGAAUUUGAGUGUAGCAACAAAUGUAGCUAUCAGCACACAGGCUUCUAUGAAAACCACACCUGAAGAAUGCCAUACAGGGCAAGGAAUCCAUAGACAACACAAUAUGACCCUUACCAAUGUGCUGGAAAAGCAGGACAGAACAGGCUGGCAUUAUGGAAGGUACACUCAGUCCUACUAAUAUUGCAUGCCUAAUCUCUGAUUUGGAAGCAAAUGUAGUGGAUAAUAUAAUGCCUCAAACUGAUGAGAGCAGUGUUGGAAAGGAGCAAGAGAGUGACAGAGAGAAAGUCAAGACUCCAGGACAGUCUGCAAUCCUAGAUAUGCAAAGCCAAGGCAAAUUGAAAGCCAUGGCCUCUGUGCAUGUAGUAAGAGAUAUGAGAAACCUAGUGAAAAACACAUACAACAUGUCCUUCAAGGGCACAGGGGAAUCAGCCCAUGAAAAAAAUGGGAGUGCUCCUUUGUUUCAGCCAUUAAUGCACAAUCUAUGCAACAACAUGGGUGAAGGAAAGGGAAAGGAUACAGACGAGAUGAAAACCCCCUGGUACAGAAAGUCACGCCACCUCUUUCACUGGACAGAAGGAGAGAUCACUUUGCACUAAGAGGAUGUUUGACUAAGGUAAUGCCUCCAGUGGAAUCAAAUGGCAAAAGUCAUACUGUUAGUGAUGGCCUUCAGACCCCAUGUCUUCCUCCCAGGUCACAGAGUUUAGUGGGGCCUCUAUCUGCUUGCGUCCUCCUAACAGUUGCUUCAACACCAAUGGUUCCCUCAUAUUAUUACAAACCCAAUCCACUGGGUUACUAGACAAUCUCUCCUCAUAUUGGAGCUGUUCAUGGCUAUGUUCAAGGGCCUGUCUUGUUUCAAACACCUCUUUACAACCAGCCUUCUGCAUCAAUCAGUCAUACCCCCCUACUGAGAUCCCUCUCUGAGGAUGAAAAAAUGCUAGUCUAUCCAACAGAUGGCUCAACCAGUCAAGCUCAGAAUGGGGAAGCAGGGUUGAAAAUGACUUCUCCAGAAAGCCAACACAACACAAUCUUUGUUGCUUCCAUGAAUGUAGAGGCCAGGCCUGGGGGUACAGGUGUGCUGUAUCCAGAAACAGGAGGAAGUGUAGCAGCAGGACAAAACCCCUGCCAACUGUUACUAGACCCGGAAACUGGCUGCUAUUUCUAUGUAGUCAUGCCUCAAUUGCCACAGUGCAAGAUGCUGUUUGACCCAGAAACUUGCCAGUAUGUUGAGGUCCUACUGCCACAGCAGAUGCUUCCCAGUGCUGUUUUGCCCACACCGUGCCCACACAUACCGUUUGCCUCUGUUCACAUCCCACCCAUGUACACCCCAAAAUGCUUACCUUACAUACAGUCUCAUCCUCAGGUGCUCCCACCAUCAGUACCAUGAAUCCCGAUGAGACUUAUAGACUGUAGAAGACAGUAAAAGAGUCAUGCCCAAGGAUCAGAUUACCCAGUGCCUAUUAAUUGCUGGAAAUUAGCUGUGUAUAAGUUUCUGGAUGAGUGAAACAUGUUAACCAUCUGCUGCCCUUGCCUUAAGGCAUCAAAGCUGAAAGUGUAUUCAGUUAGUACUGCAUUCAACAUUCCUUUCUUCGUAAAGGCUACCUCUGGACUUGGCAAUAGACAUGGGUGAGACUGUUGAAAUGUUGUAAGAUGCAUAUGCAUUCACACAUUCAGGCUACAUAAACAGAGCAGGGGCUCUAAAGGGAGAGGGGCUCAGAUAAUCUCUGGAAUGGGCAGUUGAGACUCACCAAGAGACCAGAGUGUCUUGAGUUUGUUUAGCAAGUAUGACAAAGGUCAAGAUUGUGUUACUGUAAAUUGUGUGUGUGUGUGUGUGUAUAUAUAUAUAUAUAUAUAUAUAUAUAUACAUA